UUCCUCCACCAAACGUGUACCACAGUGAUACAAACUGGUUGAAGCGUCGUACAAAAACCUCUGACUGUACAGAGACACGUUCUCUGACUCUGAAACAAACAAACUCAACUGAUGGAAGAUUGUUUAGAAAUAAGUCAUUUUCUUUUAAGUACUAUUUCAUUUUUUUUAGUAAAUCAGUUAUAAUCAUGAUUUAAACACAUUUUGAUCUCGAUUCUGGUUUAGAAACUGUGUAAAUAAUUAACCAAAGUAUUAUGUGAGCACCACCAUCUAAUCUCUAAAUUACCUCUUUGAAAAUAAAAAGAAAAAGAAAAGAAAAACAUUUACUUUAAUUUAACAAAAUGCAAAAUGUAAAGAUUACAGAGUUACAUUCUUGUAUAAAGAAAAGAAUGCCUGAAUACUCUAAAAUAAUCUUAAAUCCAGUAAACUGCUGUGUUAACACUGAUUAAGUAGAAGCAACUUUUGAGUUCAUUCUCUCUGUGCAUUUACAUUCAUCCAUCCAUCCAUCUUCUUAACCGCUUCUUCCCUUUCGGGGUCGCGGGGGUGCCGGAGCCUAUCCCGGCUACUGAUGGGCGAAGGCGGGGUACACCCUGGACAGGUCGCCAGUCUGUCGCAGGGCGCAUUUACAUUCAGAUCUUUAUAAUGUCUUAAUAUUUGUAGUGACUGCAUCAAAAAUCCAAAGUCGCUGAGAGACUGACGCUGGGCCCGGUUAUUAUACGACGCGCUGAACAAAUGGACUUGAAUUGGGUCAUGCUUUGAGCCUUUUAUUAAUGACAAAAAGUAACUGAAACAACUUAGGAUGACUGGCUUAUUGUAAGCAAAAGUAAAAGGCAAAAAGAUGGGCAAAAAGCGACAAAAGGCGACAACUAAAGCGCUCAACAAAAAAUGUGGCAACCCAGCUCUCUCUCUCCCCUCUAACUUACAGGUGCAAAAUCAACAGGUGAAUUAUAAUAACAAAAAAAUGUCUCCGCCAACAAACAUGUGAUCCACCAGGUGAUUAUCUGCUCAAUAUGGCAGCAAACAGUACCAUAAUAAAAUAAAACAAUAUUCAUUCACCUUAAUAUAUAAACAAUAGUUUAUGCAUGUGUACGAUGAUGUUGUUGUUCACCUUUCAGCUUAUCCCAAUAGGAGUCGCCACAGUGAAAUAGCCCAAUUUUUUAACAAUAAAAAAUACACACAUAUAAAAUCUUUAGAUGUCCUCUCUAAGCACUUGUUGAUGAUGUUUCAAUAAGGCUCACAGUGAAUCCAUUAUCAUCUGAGAAAAGAAAUAGGAAAUAAAUGGCAAAAAUAUCACUGCUAAAUAAUGUUUUGUCUUAAAAAUAUGACUUUCAGUUUCUCAAAAAAUCUUGAAGAUGAUCCAUGAUCCUGUUGGAGUGAGUGGUUGCAUUUCCAUAGAGACACUUUGCAUUAGCAGCUCCAUGCUCCAGUGCUCUGGGAGACUUUAUAGUCCUGAGAGUUGAAGACUGGAUGACUGACAGCUGUCCUUCAUCACAGCAGAAGACACACAAAUCCUCCUCCUCCUCAUCAUCAUCAUCAUCAUCAAACAUGAGUGUGAUCUGCGUCCUCAUCUGGACUCUCCUCUGCUGCUGCUUCACAGAGUCCAGAGGACAGGUCACAGUGACUCAGCCUGGAGCAGUGAGCUCCAAUGUGGGAGGAUCUGUCUCCAUCUCAUGCAGAACCAGUCAGAAUGUUUAUAACAACAACUAUUUAGCCUGGUAUCAACAGAAAGAUGGAGAAAAGCCUAAACUACUAAUUCGCUAUGCUGCCACUCGAGAAUCAGGGAUUCCAACUCGUUUUACAGGAAGUGGAUCAAACUCUGAUUUCACUCUGACCAUCAGUGGAGUUCAGGCUGAAGAUGCAGCAGUUUAUUACUGUCAGAGUUAUCACGAGAUCAACAGUCAGUAUGUGUUCACACAGUGAAAAACAGUCGUACAAAAACCUCCCUCAUUCAGGCUGAACAGAAACUGAACUGACUGCUGCAGCUGGAAGAUGCUGCAGACACUGAUACAGU